GAUCUGGCAGUAAGACGGAAUAUAUUGGUUCACUUCUUCUGGUACCUUCCCCACAAACGCUAAAAAUUUUGAAUAUCCAUGACGUUGGGCGCCAAACAUAAAUAUUCGUUUUAAUUUUUUUGUCAGAUCUGAAAUUCAGAAUAAAAUGUUGAAAAUAAAGCUUUGCGAAAGCAUUGACCGUUUUUGAAAUUCUCUUAAAUUGAUUGACUCAUCUAUUUUGAUGCCCAAAUACCAAGUUUAGGCAAGUUUCCUCCGCCAAGUCUUUGUUUGAAGGAAAUGGGAAAUAAUAAUAACAAUGACAGAAAUACCAUGGUUAAAAUUGAAAAUUGCUGAAAACUAAUUGCGUUGCGAAACUCCAGGAGCCAAAUUAAAAAGAGAACGAAAAAAAUGCUGCCAGUAAUGAGAUUGGAAUUCAAUAGGACAAUGAGAUUAAACUCUCCAUAAUGCCUUCAAUCGCGCAGAACUCGUUUAUAAGAGCUAUAUGGAAACUUGUAUGUUGGAUGCCUUUGCCAAAUAUGGGGACAUCCAAUCCAAAAUGGGCCAAAAUUCGACUUGAUUUAAUACAUAUUGAAAACUCAAAAUUCCCAAUAACAAAACAGGUGUAUGCAAAGGAAGCAAUGCAGUUGUUGUGGGCGAAAUAAUACAUAGCUACAAAAACAAACUUUUCUCUGAAAUGGAUUUGCCAGUAGAACUUGAGUCGAACUUGGAUGAUUUCCGCUUAACCAACGGCGAAACGUGUAUGAUAGUGUCUCUUUGAUUUUCUUUUUCACCGCAAAUUUUAGAUCUUUAAGUUCAUCUCGUAAGAGAAAUAAACAAACAAAAAGUUU